rnacentral:lncRNA from 10 species
UGUAGUACUCUCCCCCUUUUCCUAUGGAUGUGGCUUCCUGUGAGCCAAACUGCAGUGAUUGUUGUCUCUCUUCUGGGUCUAGCCACCCAGCAAGUCUACCUGGCUCUGGGCUGGUACUGGGAGUUGUCUGCAUAGAGUCCUGUGAUAUGAACCAUCUAUGGGCCUCUCAGCCAUGGAUACCAGCACCGUUCCAGUGAAGGUGGUGGGGGAAGGGAGGUGAAGUGGACUCCAGGAAAGUUCUUAGCUUUUGUAGUUUAAUGCUCUAUUCUUGUGCUGGUUUGGCCUCCUGCCAGGAGGUGGUGCUUUCCAGAGAGCAUCAGCUGUGGUAGGAUGGAGAGGAACCAGUGGUGGGUGGGGACCUAGAACUCCCAAGAUUAUAUGCCCUUUGUCUUUAGCUACCUGGGUGGGUAGGGAAGAACCAUGAGGUGGCAGCAGGGCUAGGCAUGUCUGAGCUCAGACUCUCCUUGGGUGGGUUUUGCUGUGGCUGCUGUGGGGAAUAGGGGUGAACUUCCCAUGUCAAUGGAAUUGUGUACCUAGGAGGAUUAGGGCUGCCUCUGCUGAGUCAUGCAGGUUGUCCAGGGAAGUGGGGGAAAGUCAGCAGUCAAAGGCGUCAUGCAGCUCCUAUGCAAAUCGAAGGGCUGAUCUCAUUCCAACUGUGCCCCAAAUAACAACCCUGAGUCUGUUUCCAGGCAGUGGGUGAGCUGGGCAUGAGAACUUGCCCCAGGCUACCUCUUCCAGCUGUGAAAGAAAAGGGCUUCAGUUCUUCCCCAGGCUGUGGAGUCUGCACACUGGAUUCAUGACCUCCCCCAAGUUCUGGCCAGGAAGCUUCUUGCCCAAUUCAAAUUGUUGCAAAGUUCAGCUGGAGAUUUCCUUCUUCCUGUGGCAUUUUCCUGUUGCUCCUCUGGCCACCCUCCCAAUGGAUCCGUGUGGUCCCUGGCAGGAAUGUCUUGCUUGGGGACCGAGUGAGCUCUUAGAGCCUUUCUGCUGCUUCCUCUACCCCUGUAUUUUACUCAGCUCUCUAAAUUGACUCAGUGCCAGGUCUGCUGCAGUUUGCUGGAGGUCCACUCCAGACUCUAUGUACCUGGAUAUCACCAGCGGAAGCUGCAGAAUAGCAAAGAUUGCUUCCUGGUCCUUCCUCUGGAAGCUUCAUCCCAGAGGGGCACUGGCCUGAUGUCAGCUGGAGCUCUCCUGUAUGAGAUUUUCUGUAAAUGCUGCCCACCCCCACUGCCUCUGCCUGAUGACGUCCUCUGGGUGCUUGUGUGAGAAUCAUGCAGUGACCACAUCAUCACCCACAGCUGAUGACUCAGAGUGGACCACCUAUUCAGCCCAGAGCAGGAACCCAAGCCUAUGAAGUGAAUUGUAGGAUGUGGUAUCAGCCAGUAGAGGUACUGGAGCACCAGAAACCUGAGUUCCCAGUGAUAGAACCGCCAAUGCCUCAUGGCCAUGCUGCUAAAUCCAUCAGGAUAGUUUCUUUAGCAGGUAUGUGUUUGAGCCCUUCUGUUGUGCUAGAACCAAGCAUGUUGGAGAUGUGUCUCCUUCACUUAGAGAGCUGACCAUCUGGUUGAAGAGACGGAAAUGCCAGGAGCCAGAGUACAGUUUGGGGAGGGCUAUGGUAGCACAAUACACAAGGCAGUAACAAAGCAUGGCCACCAUCUACUAGACCCAUCUAGCAACCCAUUUAUUAUCAUAGCUUCCUUUCUAGAGAAUUUCUAACAUCCCUUAUUUAGUUACAAAUGUUUAGUGUGAGAGUCCACCUCUUUUCUGAAUGCUUUCAAUAAAAGUCCUGUACUUGACAUUUUAUUGGGCUAGAUUAAUGAAUUGCUAGGAGUCAAAUCCACUUUGGGUAGGCUGGGGUCAGUCUACUCAAGCCACUAGAACCAAGAAUGAGAAAGGGCUGGUUCUCUAAAGGACGUUUGUGGUGCUAAAUUGCUGAUACCAUAUGAAGUGAGGAAGCAUGCCAGGCAGCCAAAGAUCAGUAGUUGUGUUGUUUAGUAUUCUGUCUCCUGUCCAGAGAGCCACACUUCUUACAUAGCAGGCUCAGCACAUAACAGGCUCACAGUAAACAUUUGCUAAACAAACUACACUAAUGCUAUCAUUAUAAUGGAUGUGAAAGAUUGUUGUUUCUGAACAGCCCGUGCCCAAUUCUGUUAAAAGACAACUAAGUCUCUCUACAUGGUUCGAUUCUUGUGAUUUGUUUCCACCUUUAUAUUUUCUGUGAGGAAAUUUUUCUAUGAGGAAUGGUAUAUCUCAAAAUAUAGAAUUCCAGUGUAAACGUCUUCCUUGUCAAUAGCAAGCCAACUACAUUUAUCAAACUUCUAUUUUUUGAACCUAGCUUGCCCCAUAGUAGACGUUUUAAAAAUAAUUUUUUCUGAUUAUAGUCAUAAUAUAUGUUUGUUAAGAAAAUUUGGAAAGUAGGAAGGGAAAAUAUCACUUUUUAACCUGUCUCCCACAGACUGACUGUUACCAUAAGCAGUGUGUUUUAAAUACUUGGGAUCACAUUGUACAUACAAUGCAAUUUAUUUUAUCCUUGAUUAACCCUACAAAUUAAGCAUUUUCCCCAUGCUCGUAGAAAUCUUAGUCAAUACAACUAUAGUCUUUCUUUCCUAGGCAUUAAAAAAUUUAAUAUGCAAGUAAUUUUUAAAUAAUUUUAGCAAAGCGAAAAUAAUAAACAUUACCUAAUUUCUCAUCAUUCACUGAUAACCAUCUUUAAUGUCUUGAAAUAUGCUCUAGCACAUUUUUUCUCAUGUAAUAUCUGCAUUUUUUAAAAUUAAAAGGGGAUUAUGCUAAACAUAAGUUUAUGACCCAUUUAAAAAAUUGAGGUAAAAUUCACAUAACAUACAAUUAACCAUUUUAAAGUAUUCAAUUCAGUGACAUUUAGCACAUUCAAAAUCUGCAACCACCACCUCUGGAUAUUUCAUAUAAACGGAAUCACACAAUACAUGACCUGUUGUGGCUGGCUACAUUCACUUGUAAUAAUGUUUCUGAGAUUCAUACAAGCUGUAGCACAUGCCAGUAUUCGUUCUUUUUAAUGGAAAAAUAAUAUUCCCAUUGUAUGUUUAUACCACAAGUUAUUUGUUCAUCUGUCAAUGGACAUUUGGGUUGUUUUCAUCUUUUGGCUAUUGUAGCUAAUGCAGCAAUAAUAAGCAUUUGUGUACAAAUUUCUGCAUGAACAAUAUGUUUUCAGUUCUUUUGGAUAUAUACCAAAUAUAUAUACUUUUGGAAUUUCUGAGUUAUACAAUAAUCCUAUUUUUAAUUUUUUAAGGAACCACCAAACUGUUUUCCACAGUGGUUGUACCCUUUUGCAUUGCUUAUCAGCAACAUAGGAAAGUUCCUAUUUCUCUGCAUCCUUGCUGACACUUGUUAUUUUAAAAUUAUUAUCUUCAUCCUAAUGGGUGUAAAGUAGUAUGUCAUAUGGUUUUGAUUCACAUUUCCUUUAUGAGUAAUGAUGUUGAGCAUCACUUCAUGUGUUUGCUGGUUAUUCGCAUAUCUUCUUUGGAGAAAUGUUGAUUCAAGUCCUUUGCCCAUUCUUAAAAUUGCGUUGUUUUUGUUUUCAUUGUUGAGUUGGAAGAGUUUGUUAUAUAUUCUGGAUACUCAGCCCUUAUCAG